UCGCCUGCAUGAAGUCGGAAUUGCUAGUAAUCGCGGAUCAGCAUGCCGCGGUGAAUACGUUCCCGGGCCUUGUACACACCGCCCGUCACACCAUGGGAGCCGGUAAUACCCGAAGUCAGUAGUCCAACCUCGUGAGGACGCUGCCGAAGGUAGGAUUGGCGACUGGGGUGAAGUCGUAACAAGGUACC
rnacentral:rRNA from 1 species